GACGAACGCUGGCGGCGUGCCUAAUACAUGCAAGUAGAACGCUGAAGGAGGAGCUUGCUUCUCUGGAUGAGUUGCGAACGGGUGAGUAACGCGUAGGUAACCUGCCUGGUAGCGGGGGAUAACUAUUGGAAACGAUAGCUAAUACCGCAUAAGAGUAGAUGUUGCAUGACAUUUGCUUAAAAGGUGCAAUUGCAUCACUACCAGAUGGACCUGCGUUGUAUUAGCUAGUUGGUGGGGUAACGGCUUACCAAGGCGACGAUACAUAGCCGACCUGGGAGGGUGGUCGGCCACACUGGGACUGGGACACGGCCCAGACUCCUACGGGAGGCAGCAGUAGGGAAUCUUCGGCAAUGGACGGAAGUCUGACCGAGCAACGCCGCGGGAGUGAAGAAGGUUUUCGGAUCGUAAAGGUCUGUUGUAAGGGAAGAACGAGUGUGAGAGUGGAAAGUUCACACUGUGACGGUAUCUUACCAGAAAGGGACGGCUAACUACGUG
rnacentral:rRNA from 1 species